rnacentral:rRNA from 1 species
UCAGGCCAGCAUCAGUUUGCUUCGGGGGAUAAAGGCUUAGAGAAUGUGGCCCUCUUCGGGGGGUGUUAUAGCUCUAGGUGCAAUGUAGCCUACUUGGACUGAGGACCGCGCUUCGGCUAGGAUGCUGGCGUAAUGGUUGUAAGCGA